UAAAGUUCUCAAUCUAAUUUGAGUUGUGCUUAAUGAGUAGGAGUACCAACGCAGAAUAUACCUGAAGUGGAUGUUCCCAGACAGCGUUAUGUAUACUGCUUCUGUGUAUGAAUUGCUUAAAUAUGGGUGGAUACCUUCUCACGGGCAGUUACUGUCAGCUAAGCCCCAAUCAGCUACAUUGUGCUAACAAGAACAUAGCCAAUGCCAGGACCUGCACUUCCAGGAGUUUCUGAAAUUCAGGAGCAUGGUUAAGACAGGAUGAAAUGAAGGAGCGACCUUCUGGGAAGCUGGGCUCUUAAGCGUGAGCGUGAGUGCUGUGGGUUUCACUCGUCCAAAAGAGCAGCAGCAGGAGAGUUUGAAUGUGGGGAACGUGCCAAGGAGGU